CCCUUUGUGUAAGGCAGCUGCAGCACAUUUGAAUGUAUAUAGGGGGGAUUUGAAGGGACCAUUUUCCAUGGGCCAUCUGUCUCCCAGCCAGCAGCAGGAGCAGCAAGAGACAUAGCUGUAGAAUCAGACCUGCUGCAAGCCCUCUCCAGACAGAAGCACCAGGGACAGACAGCACACAGGACAGACAGCCUGCCAGGAUGGUACUAGUGCACGUCGGAUAUCUCGUACUUCCAGUAUUUGGCUCUGUGCGUAACAGAGCGCAGUUGAAAUCUACAUGCUGCUCUGUGGUGUGAGCCCCUCUGCAUUUAGCUGUAUUGUGGCACCCCUCUUAACCAUUUCCUGUUUCCAUCUGGAGAAAGCAUUGAUAAAUAUUUAACCCUGUCAGUGACAGAGGGUUGGGCAAGGCACUGCCAGACAAUGCCCAGCCCACACCUAUGGCACAGAUUGGGUUAAAGCGGCAGUAUCCCCCCUAUCUCAUGGCUGCUUUUGUGUUUUAUUGGGGGGGGGGGGGGGGGGACGGCUUACUAUCUGGGUAACCCUUGUGUUUGCAUGCAAAUGCAACCCUCCUUUUUUAUUAUGGCAUUUAUUACACCAUCUGGUUCACAGUUUCAUACUUUUAGUUCCUAAAUACGUCUUAUGGAAUCAUAAUUCUAAUCAUUUUUUAAUAUUUAGUUUUGAAUUGUAUUUUAGAUUUACUAAAAAAUAAUUGAGCUACUGCUUGAUUUGAUGAUCAUGGUAUAUAUGUAGUUUAUACACAUAAUAAACAAACAAACAAAAAAAAAAAGGCAAAAUGCAAAUGCAAAAAAAUUGGCAUGAAGUAAGCAAAUAAAAAUAGCCGCAAUAGGCUGGGAAAUUGUAGCCCCCAAUUUUCAAGACCGUCUCUCCCCAAGGGGUUUGAUGAAGAUUUAAGCCUGUGACAGAGGAUACUAAUGCUUAAAAAUGAAGAUGCUAAGAAUAAAAAAAAAACCUUUAUUUUCUUGUUAAACUUGUAGACUAUGUAACCUUGAACCUGUAUUUUUUUUUAGUUUCCAUUGUAGUAACAUAAGGUCAUUCUAGUAGAGCUGUAGAGAAUAACAGCCAUUUUUGUAUCUUCAUCUUGUCUAGCUAAGUACAUUGCACUGUAAAUUUCUGUUAAGUGGAUUCAUUUUGCUUCUUGGGAGAUUACACAUUUUUUCUUUGUUCUUUUUGUGUAACCACAGUAUUGGGGGAAAAAAAUAUAUAUAUGGGUAUAUAUAUUCAAAAUAUAAUGUAAACAAUUCAUUUACAAACAAUCAUAUAAAUGAAAAUGUAUAUAUCAGUAUCUUAUAUAUAAGAUGGGUUAUAUCUGCCUCUUUAAUCUAGAGAGCAAAAUAUAACAUUUUAUUCCACACUGAUUCUACAGUGUCUAUUCCAAGACUAUAAUCUCUAAUCAGAGUGAUGUGCAAAUUCCGCAUAAUUUUAUUAUUUACCCAUAAGCUUGCUGGCAAAAUGCAUUAUCCAUUUAACAGGGAUAUCCUCUUUUUCUGCUGUGCUAAAACAAUUUUCCUGUUCUGUAUCUGAAUCCUUUUUUUCAAUUUGUGGAUCUUUCCACCUUUUUCUUGUACUAAGAUUUAAAAAGCAUGUUCUGUAUUUUUUAUUUAUUUAGUAUUAUUAUUAUUAUUAUUUUUCUUUAUUACAUUACCUAGUUUCUGAUGUAAAUCUUUCCGUAGAGACAUACCCUGCUAAAAUGUAAUGUGCUAUAGCGUAUACAUCUAUUCAUUGUAUGCUGCUUCUGUAUUGUUCACCCCUCCAUAGCAUGGUGGGCCUUGCCUUCUGUAUUUUGUGUGCAUGUCAUACAGUUCCACUAAUACAACUAUCUUUCAAUAAAGAAACUAGUUUUCUUAUA